rnacentral:rRNA from 1 species
GUGAGGAAUUUUCCGCAAUGGGCGAAAGCCUGACGGAGCAAUGCCGCGUGAUGGAUGAAGGCCUAUGGGUUGUAAACUUCUUUUCUCAGAAAAGAAUUAUGACGGUAUCUGAGGAAUAAGCAUCGGCUAACUCUGUGCCAGCAGCCGCGGUAAGACAGUGGAUGCAAGCGUUAUCCGGAAUGAUUGGGCGUAAAGCGUCUGUAGGUUGUUUAAAAAGUAUUCUGUCAAAGAUUAGGGCUUAACCCUAGAUAGGCAGAAUAAACUUUUAAGCUAGAGUUUGGUAGAGGCAGAGGGAAUUCCCGGUGGAGCGGUGAAAUGCGUAGAUAUCGGGAGGAACACCAAAGGCGAAGGCACUCUGCUGGGCCAAUACUAACACUGAGAGACGAAAGCGAGGGGAGCAAAUGGGAUUAGAAACCCGGGUAGUCC